AAACACAAGUCUGAUCAGAGAACCCGACCGUUCCAGGUUCUGGAAAAAAAAAAACCGAACUAACAAAAGACAGCCACCAAGAAACAUAAACAGUCUGAUGUAGCUUAGGCUGGUCUCAAACUCCCUGUGUGACUUCAGAUUACCUUGAAAUGCUGAUUCUCUUGCCUCUGCCUUGCAGUGCUGGCAUUAUAGGUGUGCACCACUAUAUCUAGCUCUCGUUUGCCCCUCCCCGCCUUUUUAACUAUAAGGCACUGCGUGCCAAGUAUGUGCUUCACCACUGAGCUAAGCUCCUAGCCCCCCCCCCCUUAUUUUUAUUCCUGUUUUGGUUUUGUUUCCUUUCAUCUGUCUUGGAACACAUGUUCCCUUAUUUUGUUAAGAUUUCUCUGUUUAAACUCAACUUCCCACUCCAUAUCCAAUUUGAGCUCUUUCUUCUCUGUAAAACAGAAUGUUGGAGCUUGUGGCCCAGAAGCAGCGGGAACGUGAAGAAAGAGAGGAGCGAGAAGCUUUGGAACGAGAAAAGCAGCGGAGGAGACAAGGGCAAGAGCUGUCAGCCGUAAGGCAGAAACUACAGGAAGACGAGAUGCGCCGUGCUGCUGAGGAGCGCAGGAGAGAAAAGGCUGAAGAAUUAGCUGCCAGACAAAGGGUCCGAGAAAAAAUUGAAAGGGACAAAGCAGAGAGAGCCAAGAAGGUGGGUGAUGAGAAAGCCUGUGGGUGUAAUGGUGUAGGAGGGUUCAUUUCCUCUUCCAUUCUCAAGAGAUAGCAUGUGCUUGCAUGAUUUGUGUGUUUGAGACACAGUUUUACUCUGUAGCCCAGACUGGUCUCAGACUUCUGGUUGUUUUCCUGCCUCAGCCUUCCAAGUGCUGGAAAUAAAAGGUGUGAGCCACUGAAGCUGGGUGGGUUUGUUUUGUUUUG
rnacentral:lncRNA from 1 species